rnacentral:rRNA from 1 species
CCCCAAGUUUAUAUCAUCAUGAACUCAUCUAAUCUUUUCUGAAAUUGGAAGAUAAACAAUGCUUGGCCUGGUCAGUAUUUGAAUAGAAGACCACUUAGGAAUUUUGGGUGCUAUAGGAU